AGGGGGGAAGUGAAACGUUCUCCCCCCACUCCAACACCAACACCAACCGACAUCUUGCUUGGAGCCCUAAGUCGCCGACAUCUUAACCCAACACUAAUCGAAGCUCAACCGGCCGUCGCACUAGCCCAGGGAUAGUGAAAUCAAUCGGUGCCCAACCCUGAAGUUCAUACCAGUGGCGAAGCAGCGAUGAAGGCAAACCUGGAGAUGGUGAAAUCACCCCUACAAAUCUUAACUGAACUUGAAAUCGACGAUCGCACUACCUCCCCCUCAGUUCAGUGACGAAGCAGCGAAGAAUGUCAAAAGUGUCUCCUCCGAUAGAAUCUGCUGCAAAAGUUCGAAUGUUUUCGUUUUUGUUUCAUCCUCAAACCCCCCACAAUUAGGAUUCACAUUGUGUCAUUUGCAAUCAUCCAGUAGAAUGAGAGGAAGAAACUUUGGAGUUUGUCAUGGAUGUAGAAGCAACACUCAAUAUUUCAGACAAUGCCAAUCAAAAUAACGAUGCCUUAGUUGUGAUCACGGAUAUCAAAAAUGUUUUGAGGUCAAACGGGAUACCGGUAACAAAGGACAUUUGUUCUUCACAUGUAGCAAUGAGUGCGGAUACUUUGAUUGGGUGAAAGAUGAAGUCUUAGGCGAGGAAUCGAGUUCCAUUAAUUAUUCGGUGAAUCAUGCACCCAACAAGGAAGACAAAGAGUUGCGAACGCUGUUUGAUGGACUAGCUAGAAUUAGCAAGAAACGAGGCAUCGACAUAUCACUCAAGCUGACUUUCAGCAAGGGAAAAGAUAUUGCCAAAUGUGAUGAGCAAGGAAAGGGGUCGAGUUGAAGGGUUUAUUUAUGUAUGUGGUUGACGAAUUGAUAUCCUUGUUCUCAUGUACAAAUGUGGUACUUCCACUUUGACAUUGUUUCCCAGUGUAUGUAAUUAGGUGCUUGCAACAUCCUAUAUACUAUUUGCAAUAAUAUAAGUAAUUCCAAGUAA